UACAGGGGGGUGCAAGCGUUAAUCGGAAUUACUGGGCGUAAAGUGUGCGCAGGUGGCCGAGCAAGUCGAGUGUGAAAAUCCCCCGAGCUUAACUUGGGAAUUGCGCUCGAAACUACUUGGCUCGAGUGUGGCAGAGGAAGGUGGAAUUCCACGUGUAGCGGUGAAAUGCGUAGAGAUCGUGAGGAAGACCCCGUGGCGAAGGCGGAUCUCUGGACGGCUAACUGACGCUGAGGCGCGAAGGCCAGGGGAGCAAACGGG
rnacentral:rRNA from 1 species